UGAGGAAUAUUGGUCAAUGGGCGGAAGCCUGAACCAGCCAAGUAGCGUGAGGGAUGACUGCCCUAUGGGUUGUAAACCUCUUUUAUAAGGGAAUAAAAUACGGGACGUGUCCUGUUUUGCAUGUACCUUAUGAAUAAGGACCGGCUAAUUCCGUGCCAGCAGCCGCGGUAAUACGGAAGGUCCGGGCGUUAUCCGGAUUUAUUGGGUUUAAAGGGAGCGUAGGCCGGAGAUUAAGCGUGUUGUGAAAUGUAGGCGCUCAACGUCUGCACUGCAGCGCGAACUGGUUUCCUUGAGUACGCACAAAGUGGGCGGAAUUCGUGGUGUAGCGGUGAAAUGCUUAGAUAUCACGAAGAACUCCGAUUGCGAAGGCAGCUCACUGGAGCGCAACUGACGCUGAAGCUCGAAAGUGCGGGUAUCGAACAGGAUUAGAUACCCUGGUAGU
rnacentral:rRNA from 1 species